rnacentral:rRNA from 1 species
UACGGAGGGUGCAAGCGUUGUCCGGAAUCAUUGGGCGUAAAGGGCGUGUAGGCGGCCCAGCAAGUCUGGUGUGAAAGCCCCCGGCUCAACCGGGGAAGUGCAUGAGAUACUGCUGGGCUUGAGUGCGGGAGAGGAAGGUGGAAUUCCCAGUGUAGCGGUGAAAUGCGUAGAUAUUGGGAGGAACACCGGUUGCGAAGGCGGCCUUCUGGACCGUCACUGACGCUGAAACGCGAAAGCGUGGGGAG